UACGUAGGGUGCAAGCGUUUGUCCGGAAUUAUUGGGCGUAAAGAGCUCGUAGGCGGUUUGUUGCGUCGGCUGUGAAAACCCGGGGCUCAACCCCGGGCCUGCAGCCGAUACGGGCAGACUAGAGUUCGGCAGGGGAGACUGGAAUUCCUGGUGUAGCGGUGAAAUGCGCAGAUAUCAGGAGGAACACCGGUGGCGAAGGCGGGUCUCUGGGCCGAUACUGACGCUGAGGAGCGAAAGCGUGGGGAGCGAACAGG
rnacentral:rRNA from 1 species